UACAGAGACUGCAAGCGUUAUUCGGAUUCACUGGGCGUAAAGGGUGCGCAGGCGGUUGGGUGUGUCAGGUGUGAAAUCCCGAGGCUCAACCUCGGAACUGCGUCUGAAACUACUCGACUAGAGUACUGGAGAGGGAACUGGAAUUUACGGUGUAGCAGUGAAAUGCGUAGAGAUCGUAAGGAAGGCCAGUGGCGAAGGCGAGUUCCUGGACAGUUACUGACGCUGAGGCACGAAGGCCAGGGGAGCAAACGGG
rnacentral:rRNA from 1 species